AGAAAUUGAAUUCAAUGAUCAAACUGACUGACUGACUAACUAGCCAUUGCCUAGUUUGUCGAUCCUGAAACUGAUCAUUGGGUCCCGGUUCCAUUUGUUUCAAGCUCUGACUGACCAAGUGCAGUGCUUGCUAGCACCAGUUGGCCGUACUCGAUGUCCGCAUGUUGUUGCAUUGGAUGGACGACAGAUAAGCUAGGCUACAACUCAGCUCGGCACGCUGCCGGCCGGACUGUGGCCUCCUCCUCUGUGUGUGUCAGGUCAGCAGUGCAUGUGCGUUUUGUUUGUCCGUCCGUCCUACUUACUGGACACGCACACACACGAUGUAGUGUACAGUAGUAGACUAGUACUAGCGCAUAAGCAGCCAAAUGGAGUGGCACGUAUACUUGCAGCUUAAUUGCUAGGGCCCAGUAGAUGAUCGAGAAUGAGAUGCUGUGCUCAUCUGCACUGCACGGCUGGAAUGGAUAAGCAGCAGGUGCCCUCUUCCGGUCCGUGAGUCUCGUCCCCAUAUAUAUAUGCGAUGCGAUGCGGUUGCCAUGCGAUCGAUGUCCUCAUUAGGCUCAUCACGCCGUUUUUAUUAGUCCUUCUUGUUUUCAUUUGUGUUUUAAAAAGUUGCAAGUCUGCAUGCCUGAGUCCA